rnacentral:tRNA from 1 species
CGGAGAAUAGCUCAGUCUGGUAGAGCACUGCCUUCGGGAGGCAGGGGUCGCAGGUUCGAAUCCUGUUUCUCCGACCA